rnacentral:rRNA from 1 species
UACAGAGGUCUCAAGCGUUGUUCGGAUUCAUUGGGCGUAAAGCGUGCGUAGUCGGUUAUCUAAGUCGGAUGUGAAAUCCCCGGGCUCAACCUGGGAAUUGCAUUCGAUACUGGAUAGCUAGAGUUCGGCAGAGGGAAGUGGAAUUUCGGGUGUAGCGGUGAAAUGCGUAGAUAUCCGAAGGAACAUCAGUGGCGAAAGCGACUUCCUGGACCAGAACUGACGAUCAGGCACGAAAGCGUGGGGAGCAAACAGG